GACGAACGCUGGCGGCGUGCUUAACACAUGCAAGUCGAACGGAAAGGCCCUGCUUUUGUGGGGUGCUCGAGUGGCGAACGGGUGAGUAACACGUGAGUAACCUGCCCUUGACUUUGGAAUAACUUCAGGAAACUGGGGCUAAUACCGGAUAGGAGCUCCUGCUGCAUGGUGGGGGUUGGAAAGUUUCGGCGGUUGGGGAUGGACUCGCGGCUUAUCAGCUUGUUGGUGGGGUAGUGGCUUACCAAGGCUUUGACGGGUAGCCGGCCUGAGAGGGUGACCGGCCACAUUGGGACUGAGAUACGGCCCAGACUCCUACGGGAGGCAGCAGUGGGGAAUAUUGCACAAUGGGCGGAAGCCUGAUGCAGCAACGCCGCGUGCGGGAUGACGGCCUUCGGGUUGUAAACCGCUUUCGCCUGUGACGAAGCGUGAGUGACGGUAAUGGGUAAAGAAGCACCGGCUAACUACGUGCCAGCAGCCGCGGUGAUACGUAGGGUGCGAGCGUUGUCCGGAUUUAUUGNGCGUAAAGGGCUCGUAGGUGGUUGAUCGCGUCGGAAGUGUAAUCUUGGGGCUUAACCCUGAGCGUGCUUUCGAUACGGGUUGACUUGAGGAAGGUAGGGGAGAAUGGAAUUCCUGGUGGAGCGGUGGAAUGCGCAGAUAUCAGGAGGAACACCAGUGGCGAAGGCGGUUCUCUGGGCCUUUCCUGACGCUGAGGAGCAAAAGCGUGGGGAGCGAACAGGCUUAGAUACCCUGGUAGUCCACGCUGUAAACGGUGGGUACUAGGUGUGGGGUCCAUUCCACGGGUUCCGUGCCGUAGCUAACGCUUUAAGUACCCCGCCUGGGGAGUACGGCCGCAAGGCUAAAACUCAAAGGAAUUGACGGGGCCCCGCACAAGCGGCGGAGCAUGCGGAUUAAUUCGAUGCAACGCGUAGAACCUUACCUGGGUUUGACAUGGAUCGGGAGCGCUCAGAGAUGGGUGUGCCUCUUUUGGGGUCGGUUCACAGGUGGUGCAUGGCUGUCGUCAGCUCGUGUCGUGAGAUGUUGGGUUAAGUCCCGCAACGAGCGCAACCCUUGUUCACUGUUGCCAGCACGUUAUGGUGGGGACUCAGUGGAGACCGCCGGGGUCAACUCGGAGGAAGGUGGGGAUGACGUCAAGUCAUCAUGCCCCUUAUGUCCAGGGCUUCACGCAUGCUACAAUGGCUGGUACAGAGAGUGGCGAGCCUGUGAGGGUGAGCGAAUCUCGGAAAGCCGGUCUCAGUUCGGAUUGGGGUCUGCAACUCGACCUCAUGAAGUCGGAGUCGCUAGUAAUCGCAGAUCAGCAACGCUGCGGUGAAUACGUUCCCGGGGCU
rnacentral:rRNA from 1 species